CGAUCAUUGUUUACCUUCCAUGAGGUGAAACCGAGAAAUGACACAUAUGAAUGUAACAUUAUGCGUUUUUUCCGGAAGGCGGAAUCCCGAAUAUAAGAUUGAUGGCAAUGAUCCAGAUUUCGAAACAAUUAAAGCAGCAUUACCAAAGCCGGGGAGUUUACAUCUCCCUUCUGUGCUUGGUUAUCAGGGAUAUAUGAUUACCAUCAUGGGUAAUGCCAAAUCAAACCAUUUGUCGUGUUCUUCUUCGAUAGAAAUUCCUUGCGGAUUUAACCAAGAACUGGAAAAAAUGCUUUUUAACAAAGGCAACUUUGGUGACACUUUGAGGAAAAGAGUAUUUGGUGCACUGGAUGGACUGAAAUGAUCAAGAAGACACAUUCAAUGUUCAUUGAAUCAUGUUCUUUCGAUAUUUUUUAUGUAAUUUUCCAUGGGUUUUAUUUUUCUUGAUUCAAGAACAUAUUGAUUCGGUCUUUUUACCUAAAUAUCAAUAAGGAGAUGUGGUAUACUUGAACAGCGGUAUACUACUGUUGUCUUUAUGUAUGAUUGCCAAUAAGACAACUAUCCACCAAAGUUCAAAUGAAGUGGAUGUAUAUAACAAUAAAGAGGUGUGAUAUGAUUGCCAAUGAGACAACUGUCCACCAAAGUUCAAAUGAAGUGGAUGUAAGCAAUAGUUGCUUAACUCUUUUUAUUUGUAUAUGUUAUAACGUAGCAAGUGAGCGUUUUCUAUGGAACUGCUGUAUUUCAUGUCACAAAUAAUGUUUUUUUUUUCUAUUUUUAGUCAGCAUCUAUUGAUUCAUAAAAAUUCCGUUAUACAGGAAAUAAAAAAAUGACCAGCUGCAGUAAAA